GAUGAAGAACGUAGUGAAAUGCGAUAAGUAAUGUGAAUUGCAGAAUCCAGUGAAUCAUCGAAUCUUUGAACGCACAUUGCGCCCGCCAGCAUUCUGGUGGGCAUGCCUGUUCGAGCGUCAUUUCAACCCUCGACCUCCCUUUGGGGAAGUCGGCGUUGGGGACCGGCAGCACACCGCCGGCCCUGAAAUGGAGUGGCGGCCCGUCCGCGGCGACCUCUGCGUAGUAAUCCAACUCGCACCGGAACCCCGACGCGGCCACGCCGUAAAACACCCAACUUCUGAACGUUGACCUCGAAUCAGGUAGGACUACCCGCUGAACUUAAGCAUAUCAAUAAGCGAGGA
rnacentral:misc_RNA from 1 species